rnacentral:rRNA from 1 species
AACGAACGCUGGCGGCAUGCCUAACACAUGCAAGUCGAACGAGACCUUCGGGUCUAGUGGCGCACGGGUGCGUAACGCGUGGGAACCUGCCCUUAGGUUCGGAAUAACUCCCCGAAAGGGGUGCUAAUACCGGAUAAUGUCUUCGGACCAAAGAUUUAUCGCCCUUUGAUGGGCCCGGGUUGGAUUAGCUAGUUGGUUGGGUAAAAGCCGACCAAGGCGACGAUCCAUAGCUGGUCUGAGAGGAUGAUCAGCCACACUGGGACUGCGACACGGCCCAGACUCCUACGGGAGGCAGCAGUGGGGAAUAUUGGACAAUGGGCGAAAGCCUGAUCCAGCAAUGCCGCGUGAGUGAUGAAGGCCUUAGGGUUGUAAAGCUCUUUUACCCGGGAUGAUAAUGACAGUACCGGGAGAAUAAGCUCCGGCUAACUCCGUG